rnacentral:rRNA from 1 species
UGGGGAAUAUUGCACAAUGGGCGCAAGCCUGAUGCAGCCAUGCCGCGUGUGUGAAGAAGGCCUUCGGGUUGUAAAGCACUUUCAGCGAGGAGGAAGGUGGUGAGCUUAAUACGCUCAUCAAUUGACGUUACUCGCAGAAGAAGCACCGGCUAACUCCGUGCCAGCAGCCGCGGUAAUACGGAGGGUGCAAGCGUUAAUCGGAAUUACUGGGCGUAAAGCGCACGCAGGCGGUUUGUUAAGUCAGAUGUGAAAUCCCCGGGCUCAACCUGGGAACUGCAUUUGAAACUGGCAAGCUAGAGUCUCGUAGAGGGGGGUAGAAUUCCAGGUGUAGCGGUGAAAUGCGUAGAGAUCUGGAGGAAUACCGGUGGCGAAGGCGGCCCCCUGGACGAAGACUGACGCUCAGGUGCGAAAGCGUGGGGCAGCAAACAGGAUUAGAUACCCUGGUAGUCCAGCGCUGUAAACGAUGUCGAUUUGGAGGUUGUGCCCUUGAGGCGUGGCUUCCGGAGCUAACGCGUUAAAUCGACCGCCUGGGGAGUACGGCCGCAAGGUUAAAACUCAAAUGAAUUGACGGGGUCAUAGCUGUUUCCU